AAAACUUUCAGCAACGGAUCUCUUGGUUCUGGCAUCGAUGAAGAACGCAGCGAAAUGCGAUAAGUAAUGUGAAUUGCAGAAUUCAGUGAAUCAUCGAAUCUUUGAACGCACAUUGCGCCCCUUGGUAUUCCGGGGGGCAUGCCUGUUCGAGCGUCAUUA
rnacentral:rRNA from 1 species